rnacentral:rRNA from 1 species
UACGGGGGGGGCAAGCGUUGUUCGGAAUUACUGGGCGUAAAGCGCGUGUAGGCGGCUAAGUGUGUCGGGCGUGAAAUCCCACGGCUCAACCGUGGAAGUGCACCCGAAACUACGUAGCUAGAGUCCUGGAGAGGAAGGUGGAAUGCUUGGUGUAGAGGUGAAAUUCGUAGAUAUCAAGCGGAACACCGGUGGCGAAGGCGGCCUUCUGGACAGUGACUGACGCUGAGACGCGAAAGCGUGGGGAGCAAACAGG